AUUGAACGCUGGCGGCAGGCCUAACACAUGCAAGUCGAGCGGAGCGGCGGACGGGUGAGUAAUGCCUAGGUAUCUGCCUGGUCGUGGGGGAUAACGUCCGGAAACGGGCGCUAAUACCGCAUACUAUCAGAUGAGCCUAGGUCGGAUUAGCUUGUUGGUGGGGUAAAGGCCUACCAAGGCGACGAUCCGUAUCUGGUCUGAGAGGAUGAUCAGUCACACUGGAACUGAGACACGGUCCAGACUCCUACGGGAGGCAGCAGUGGGGAAUAUUGGACAAUGGGCGAAAGCCUGAUCCAGCCAUGCCGCGUGUGUGAAGAAGGUCUUCGGAUUGUAAAGCACUUUAAGUAGGGAGGCGUUACCAACAGAAUAAGCACCGGCUAACUUCGUGCCAGCCGCCGCGGUAAUAC
rnacentral:rRNA from 1 species